rnacentral:rRNA from 1 species
UUAUCUGGUUUGGUCCUGCCAGUAGUCAUACGCUCGUCUCAAAGAUUAAGCCAUGCAUGUGUAAGUAUAAAUAAUUCUACUUUGAAACUGCGAAUGGCUCAUUAUAUCAGUUAUAGUUUAUUAGAAAUAAUUUACUACUUGGAUAACCGUAGUAAUUCUAGGGCUAAUACAUGAGUAAAUCCUCGACUUUGAAGAGGUGUGUUUAUUAGUAUGAAAACCAUAUGCUUCGGCAUGAUAGUGAGUAAUAAUAACCUUUCAUAUCGUAUGUUGUAAUAACGAUAGUUCUUUCAAGUUUCUGCCCUAUCAGCUUUCGAUGGUAGUGCAUUGGACUACCAUGGCAGUAACGGGUAACGAAGAAUUUGGGUUCGAUUUCGGAGAGGGAGCCUGAGAGAUGGCUACCACAUCCAAGGAAGGCAGCAGGCGCGUAAAUUACCCAAUCCUGACAUAGGGAGGUAGUGACAAUAAAUCACAAUGCGGGACUUUUAGUUUUGCAAUUGGAUUGAGAACAAUGUAAAAGAGUUAUCGAUAAACAAUUGGAGGGCAAGUCUGGUGCCAGCAGCCGCGGUAAUCCAGCUCCAAUGUAGAUUUUCCCG